UACGGGGGGAGCAAGCGUUGUUCGGAUUUACUGGGCGUAAAGCGUGCGCAGGCGGUUUUGUAAGCCAGAUGUGAAAUCCCCGGGCUUAACCUGGGAAUGGCAUUUGGGACUGCAAGGCUUGAGUGCGGCAGAGGAGACUGGAAUUCCUGGUGUAGCAGUGAAAUGCGUAGAUAUCAGGAGGAACACCGAUGGCGAAGGCAGGUCUCUGGGCUGACACUGACGCUCAUGCACGAAAGCGUGGGGAGCAAACAGG
rnacentral:rRNA from 1 species